rnacentral:rRNA from 1 species
UACGGAGGGGGCUAGCGUUGUCCGAAGUUACUGGGCGUAAAGCGCGCGUAGGCGGGUUGGUAAGUCCGCUGUGAAAGCCCGGAGCUCAACUCCGGAGGGUCGGUGGAUACUGCCAGUCUUGAAGGUGCUAGGGGGGAGAUGGAAUUACCGGUGUAGCGGUGAAAUGCGUAGAUAUCGGUAGGAACACCAGUGGCGAAGGCGGGUCUCUGGACAGUUCCGUGACGCUGAGGAGCGAAAGCCAGGGGAGCAAACGGG